rnacentral:rRNA from 1 species
UACGUAGGGUGCGAGCGUUGUCCGGAAUUAUUGGGCGUAAAGAGCUUGUAGGCGGUUUGUCGCGUCUGCCGUGAAAAUUCGAGGCUCAACCUCGAACUUGCGGUGGGUACGGGCAGACUAGAGUGUGGUAGGGGAGACUGGAAUUCCUGGUGUAGCGGUGAAAUGCGCAGAUAUCGGAAGGAACAUCAGUGGCGAAAGCGACUUCCUGGACCAGUACCGACGUUCAGGCACGAAAGCGUGGGGAGCAAACAGG